CAACCACCCACGCACUGUGGCCUGGAGCAGCACGGCCGCCCUCUCUGCCACCAGCUGAGGAACCAACAGGGUUUUAAAUGCAUUCAGCAUCCCCCUGGCGAAUGCCUGGAUGGUGACGGUGGCCUGUCGGAUCAUGAGGAAUAGCUGCCUGACCACCAUCAUGCGGUGCUCCCUUUAAGAGUCCCCACCGUGGUUCAUCUGCCUCCAUCUCACCCUAUCCCAGCAUCCUCCUCUGUCACACCAACCCUCUGCAUGUCCUCCUUCACUACAUCCCUGCACCUUCUCUGAGGUCUUCCUCUUUUCCUCCUUCACGGCAGCUCCAUCGUCAACAUCCUCUCGCCCUCCUCGGCACAUGUGCAAACCAUCUCAGCUCUCUGACUCUGACUCUCGUGCACGCUGCAUUGCUUUUGAUAGCUGUCUCCAGGUAUUUUCACUCAUCCACCUUCAUUUCCUCUGCUCCCUGCAGCUUCAUUGUUACACCCAUCUCCCUCUAGUGUUUCAAACAUUAACAAGAAUUCUAGAACAUUACUAUUUUUCCUUUAAAAGAAAUGAAGUGGCUUAGCCUGACAUAGCCGUACAUCAUAGUAA